rnacentral:rRNA from 1 species
AACGAACGCUGGCGGCAUGCCUAACACAUGCAAGUCGAACGAGACCUUCGGGUCUAGUGGCGCACGGGUGCGUAACGCGUGGGAACCUGCCCUUAGGUUCGGAAUAACUCCCCGAAAGGGGUGCUAAUACCGGAUAAUGUCUUCGGACCAAAGAUUUAUCGCCUUUGGAUGGGCCCGCGUUGGAUUAGCUAGUUGGUAGGGUAAAAGCCUACCAAGGCGACGAUCCAUAGCUGGUCUGAGAGGAUGAUCAGCCACACUGGGACUGAGACACGGCCCAGACUCCUACGGGAGGCAGCAGUGGGGAAUAUUGGACAAUGGGCGAAAGCAUGAUCCAGCACUGCCGCGUGAGUGAUGAAGGCCUUAGGGUUGUAAAGCUCUUUUACCCGGGAUGAUAAUGACAGUACCGGGAGAAUAAGCUCCGGCUAACUCCGUG